UCCCUGCUGGUUUAGUGGUUAAGACUCUGAGCUUCCACUUCAAGGGGCACAGGUUCGAUUCCUGGCCAGGGAA
rnacentral:tRNA from 1 species